GACAGAGGUGCCGAGCGUUAGGCGGAAUCACUGGGCUUAAAGCGUGUGUAGGCGGAUUCCUAAGUACCUUGUGAAAUCCCACGGCUCAACCGUGGAACUGCUUGGUAUACUGGGUGUCUUGAGCUAUCUAGGGGCAACUGGAACAAACGGUGGAGCGGUGAAAUGCGUAGAUAUCGUUUGGAACGCCAAUGGUGAAAACAGGUUGCUGGGGAUAUGCUGACGCUGAGACACGAAAGCCAGGGGAGCAAACGGG
rnacentral:rRNA from 1 species